CCCUUAGAUGUUCUGGGCCGCACGCGUGCUACACUGAGUAAUUCAAUGGGUAAGGGAAAGCUAGAGCAUUACCUAAUCUUGAAAUUUGCUCGUGAUGGGGAUCGACGGUUGCAAUUUUCCGUCGUGAACGAGGAAUACCUUGUAGGCGCAUGUCAUCAUCAUGCGCCGAAUACGUCCCUGCCCUUUGUACACACCGCCCGUCGCUCCUACCGAUUGAGUGAUCCGGUGAGGCUCUGGGACCUGGACGGAAAGAGCGUUUCGCUUGUUCUGUUUGGGAAACUUGGUCGAACCUUAUCAUUUAGAGGAAGGAGAAGUCGUAACA
rnacentral:rRNA from 1 species